CAAGCAUAUCAAUAAGCGGAGGAAAAGAAACCAACAGGGAUUGCCUCAGUAACGGCGAGUGAAGCGGCAACAGCUCAAAUUUGAAAUCUGGCCCUAGGCCCGAGUUGUAAUUUGCAGAGGAUGCUUUUGGUGCGGUGCCUUCCGAGUUCCCUGGAACGGGACGCCAGAGAGGGUGAGAGCCCCGUACGGUUGGACACCAAGCCUUUGUAAAGCUCCUUCGACGAGUCGAGUAGUUUGGGAAUGCUGCUCAAAAUGGGAGGUAUAUUUCUUCUAAAGCUAAAUAUAGGCCAGAGACCGAUAGCGCACAAGUAGAGUGAUCGAAAGAUGAAAAGCACUUUGAAAAGAGGGUUAAACAGCACGUGAAAUUGUUAAAAGGGAAGCGCUUGUGACCAGACUUGCGUCCGGUGAAUCACCCAGCUCUCGCGGCUGGGGCACUUUGCCGGCACAGGCCAGCAUCAGCUCGCUGUCGGGGACAAAAGCUUCGGGAACGUAGCUCUCUUCGGGGAGUGUUAUAGCCCGUUGCAUAAUACCCUUCGGUGGGCUGAGGUACGCGCUCCGCAAGGAUGCUGGCGUAAUGGUCAUCAGCGACCCGUCUUGAAACACGGACCAAGGAGUCAACCUUAUGUGCGAGUGUUUGGGUGUUAAACCCCUACGCGUAAUGAAAGUGAACGCAGGUGAGAGCUUCGGCGCAUCAUCGACCGAUCCUGAUGUUCUCGGAUGGAUUUGAGUAAGAGCAUAUAGGGUUGGACCCGAAAGAAGGUGAACUAUGCGUGUAUAGGGUGAAGCCAGAGGAAACUCUGGUGGAGGCUCGCAGCGGUUCUGACGUGCAAAUCGAUCGUCAAAUAUGCGCAUGGGGGCGAAAGACUAAUCGAACCUUCUAGUAGCUGGUUUUUGCCGA
rnacentral:rRNA from 1 species